rnacentral:rRNA from 1 species
AGUUUGAUCCUGGCUCAGGAUGAACGCUAGCGGCAGGCUUAAUACAUGCAAGUCGUGGGGCAGCAGGUUUGUAGCAAUACAGAUGCUGGCGACCGGCAAACGGGUGCGGAACACGUACAGAACCUUCCUUUGAGCGGGGAAUAGCCCAGAGAAAUUUGGAUUAAUACCCCAUAGUAUAAUGAAGUGGCAUCACUUUAUUAUUAAAGAUUUAUCACUCGAAGAUGGCUGUGCGGCUGAUUAGGUAGUUGGCGGGUAAAGGCCCACCAAGCCUGCGAUCAGUAACUGGUGUGAGAGCACGACCAGUCACACGGGCACUGAGACACGGGCCCGACUCCUACGGGAGGCAGCAGUAAGGAAUAUUGGUCAAUGGAGGCAACUCUGAACCAGCCAUGCCGCGUGGAGGAUGAAGGUCCUCUGGAUUGUAAACUUCUUUUAUAUGGGACGAAAAAGGCUUUUCUAAGUCGUCUGACGGUACCAUAUGAAUAAGCACCGGCUAACUCCGUG